GGAGGGAUGAGGGGAGAGAGGGUGCUUGGGCCUGUGUUGGCCCUGGGCCCUCAUGAUUCCAGAUGCCCAGGGGAUGCAUGGUACACCACCAGAAAGAGUCCCUAUGCUCAGCCCCAACCCAGGAGGCAGACAGAGCCCAGGAGGCAAGUCAAGAGGAGAGGGGCCUGGGGAACCUCUCCCAUUCUGCUGGGUGGAACCUCAUGGGGGCCAAAGGAAGUUAGAUCUUAGUGGGUCCAGGAGAGGAGAUUUCUAUAAUUCCAUAAAGUCCUACUGUGCUCAGAUCAGAUGCUCUUUGGCCACUGAAGUGGAAAAAAUGCAGUCCCGCUCCACCCACCCAAGGUCAGAGCAAAAAACCAUGAGGUCACAGCUAUGCAAAGAGCUCUCCUGUGGGAAGGCUCACCCUCCACCUCCUGGGAGGCUCCUGCCUUCAGGGGCCAUGCAAGUUAGGAGCAGCUGACCCCAUCCUCCAGGGGCUGGACUGUGGGUGAGGGGCUGGUUGGGUUGCCUCUGCCAGACAGGCUCACUCACCAAGGAGAGUUGGGGCCCUGUAAUCAGAACCAGCUGCACCUCCCUUGUGCUGGGGGGAUGGGGGAAUGUGUCUACAGGAAAAGGCCCCAUGGGCCUAGCUCACAUGACCUUGUCAGGAAAGACCUGCUGCAGCCUUUCCUAUCACAGU
rnacentral:lncRNA from 1 species